CAGACUAUCUAUGAAGAGCUACAAUGUGGCAGACGGAAGUCGUCGAGGAUGUUUCUGUGGAAACAUCCGGCCGCAUCUUUGGAACUUCGUCAGCGUUUGCGUCAUGCAAAUAGCCAUUUCAGCAUAGAAAAUUCCAGGAAACUGGCGAAAAUGAUACAGACUGCCAUAAUCUGUGAUGAAGAUAUCAUAGAUGUUGACCUUGUGCUCGACGUAAUGAUGCCUGAGGUUUCCAUCAACAUUGUCACGAACCACGAGGGUUUCUGCAGGUUUCUGGCUGAGAGGUUCAUGUCCAUGCAUCCGGCAUUGGAGUAACAAG